AUUGAACGCUGGCGGUAGGCCUAACACAUGCAAGUCGAACGGCAGCACAGGAGAGCUUGCUCUCUGGGUGGCGAGUGGCGGACGGGUGAGGAAUACAUCGGGAUCUACUUUUUCGUGGGGGAUAACGUAGGGAAACUUACGCUAAUACCGCAUACGACCUACGGGUGAAAGCAGGGGAUCUUCGGACCUUGCGCGAUUGAAUGAGCCGAUGUCGGAUUAGCUAGUUGGCGGGGUAAAGGCCCACCAAGGCGACGAUCCGUAGCUGGUCUGAGAGGAGCAUCAGCCACACUGGAACUGGGAGACGGUCAAGACGCCUACGGGAGGCAGCAGUGGGGAAUAUUGGACAAUGGGCGCAAGCCUGAUCCAGCCAUACCGCGUGGGUGAAGAAGGCCUUCGGGUUGUAAAGCCCUUUUGUUGGGAAAGAAAUCCAGCUGGUUAAUACCCGGUUGGGAUGACGGUACCCAAAGAAUAAGCACCGGCUAACUUCGUGCCAGCCGCCGCGGUAA
rnacentral:rRNA from 1 species